UAGAGAAUGAGAUGGUUGGAUUGCAUCACUGACUCAAUGGUCCUUUUGAAAUUUGGCAGCUUGAUUUUAUACAAAUGUCUCCCUCUCAAGGAAGAAGAUCCCCCACCACCAACCCAAAUAAAAAAGAAGACCCACUGAGCAGAUGAAAACUGCUGACCACAAGAACAUGGACCCUAGACUGGUUGAAACCAGAAGGUUGAUGAUGCUUGAAACUUCACCUUGAUGCCAACCAAUCCAAGAACUGUCCACGAAUUGAUCACAUCCUGCUCCCUAAACACUAUAAAACUCCUUACUACCCCUUCCAGGGUGGGCCACACAGUCUUCAGGGCAUUAGCUCACUGUG